rnacentral:rRNA from 1 species
CCUACGGGUGGCAGCAGUGGGGAAUAUUGGACAAUGGGGGCAACCCUGAUCCAGCCAUGCCGCGUGUGUGAAGAAGGCCCUCGGGUUGUAAAGCACUUUCAGUGAGGAAGAACGCCUGGUGGUUAAUACCCAUCAGGAAAGACAUCACUCACAGAAGAAGCACCGGCUAACUCCGUGCCAGCAGCCGCGGUAAUACGGAGGGUGCGAGCGUUAAUCGGAAUUACUGGGCGUAAAGCGCGCGUAGGUGGCUUGAUAAGCCGGUUGGGAAAGCCCCGGGCUCAACCUGGGAACGGCAUCCGGAACUGUCAAGCUAGAGUGCAGGAGAGGAAGGUAGAAUUCCCGGUGUAGCGGUGAAAUGCGUAGAGAUCGGGAGGAAUACCAGUGGCGAAGGCGGCCUUCUGGACUGACACUGACACUGAGGUGCGAAAGCGUGGGUAGCAAACAGGAUUAGAUACCCUAGUAGUC